rnacentral:tRNA from 1 species
AGAUGCCUAGCCGAGUUGGUUAUCUCGGCAGUUUUGCACCUGCGAGAUCCUGGGUUCGAGUCCCAGGCAAUCCA